rnacentral:rRNA from 1 species
AUGCGGAGGUUUGAAAGUUGCGCAGGAGGCGGCCUAAGGGUGGGACGGCGUACAAUCCCUCUACUGUCAUUUUAUACUCUGAUUUUUUUGCUGCAUGCACAGGUGUUUCAGGCAGAAACAGUAAUAGCAUCGACUAGGAGGAGCAAGACAAGAAGCAGCGACAGCUACCAUUGCUGGCUAAGCUAUCUGCUACGAUGCCCGCCUCUCUUUGCAACGGCCAAAGCACACAACAAUCCAUAUUUUGGUGAAUUUUUUCUCCCCACUUUGGUGACUUGGGACGGGUUGUGGGCAACAGCAGUUUGA